GGGGUAAUAGCUCAGAGGUGGAGCACAUGCUUAGCAUGCAUGGGGUUCUGGGUUCAAUCUCCAGUACCUCUG
rnacentral:tRNA from 1 species